GUGUCCCUGUACUUUCAUUUUUAACAUCCUUCCAGACUUCUAAGAAAACUGCCCCUUUGGAAACAGAGCCCCGCUGUGGGCAUGUGGGAUCACCAGGGAAGCUGCUGGCUGAGCUGAGGAUAAACACCAGCGAUUCUAUUCUCAGUGACUAACUUCAACAUGAAUGCCAACGCGUAUAACAGGAAAUCAGAUGAUGCAAGGCAAAGCAGGAGCAUCAGACUUUGAAAUGACAUGGGGCUUUAGGUGAUAGCCAGGCCCGCUGGUUUGCAAGUGCACACUGGUCCAGCCCUGAGAAGCCGCUCUUGCAGAAACACCUAGGAACCUGACUUAUUCAGUAGAAAAUAACUGCCCCAGAGGUGGGAGUUAGGGUCUUGUGAAAGUUUAAAUUAGGAGAAAUUAUAGUUGAAGAGCUUAAAACCAGAGGGAAACACGGAGGGAAUGGACAUCACAUCUGUGAGCAUUCAGAGAAAUCAUUUAAAUUCACUAAGAUUAUUCUAACAACAACAAAAAUAGCAAUGAGUAGCAUUUUCUGCACAUGAAGCAAUGCUAUGUUUGUUCCCUUUUUAAGAGGAAUCCUGUGACCCCUCUCCCCACAAAACCCAGUAUUGAAGUUCAGGCCUGAAUCACUCUGGAUACACACCCCUUGGAGAGGCUUGACCCAAACCAGUUAAAAAAAAAAAAAGAAAGCGCCAAAGAGCCAAAUUCUUGGCUUCCACCAGUUCCUAAACAGGCUUUUGAAAUUCAUGGCAGAGAUAAUAACCUUGAAAGCCAAGGCUUUUGAUUUGCAAGAUUCGCAAAAGAGGCUCUUUUUUUUAAACGUCUCUAAACUGGUUUUGAGUAGCAAGACUUUGGAUUCAAAAGCAAAUCCCUGAAGGAAUCUUGGAAUAAAGUUUCUGCCACAACAGACAAUACAUCUGUGGGGGGAACUGAUGAAAAGUCAUAUUAUCCUGUCCCUGAGGGUGAAAAUGUCCAAAAAACAAAAAACAAAAACAAAAACCCAGAGAGGAGGAAUUACAAAUUCCAGGGGGCUAAAGAAGGGGAAAAACAGGGUUGGCGGUGAGCUGAGGAGCUAA